CAGUACCUUCGUAGACUCUCACGUAGAGAUUAGGUGGGCACUGGGGCCAGCCCAUCUCCGUGUGAGUACCUUCUGAUCUUUCAUUGAGCCCAGAGCUAACUGAUUCACAAGACAAGCUGCCUACAGAGCUUCAGGCCUGGCUACAGAGGCCGUUGUGGAAAAGCAUUACUCCCAGGACACCUCUGCUGGAGGCACGGCAGGCUCCAGGCAGGCAGCGGUGCUGAAAGCUGCUGACAGCGGCCUCCUAAGAAGGAGGGAGCCCAGAGCCCCAGUGGGUCUGCUCCUCCCCCACUGCCACCAUAAGCUAAGAAAGGCUGGGAGGAGAAAAACUGCCAAAGACCACCAGUGUCCCCAACCAACCGCAUAGCUCUGAGCUGCACAGGCCUUUCCGUCUCUGGAGCCAGCUGCCCCAGGCAGAUUAGGCUCCGGAAAAGAGGCCUGCUCCCCAGCCUAGCAACUCUGGCUGAGUCUGAGUCAGUCCUGUCAGGAAAUCAUUCAUAAAAAAUGACACCUUCGCAAA